rnacentral:rRNA from 1 species
GACGAACGCUGGCGGCGUGCCUAACACAUGCAAGUCGAGCGAGUGAAUCUCCUUCGGGAGUGAAGCUAGCGGCGGACGGGUGAGUAACACGUGGGCAACCUGCCUCAUAGAGGGGAAUAGCCUUUCGAACGGAAGAUUAAUACCGCAUAAGAUUGUAGCUUCGCAUGAAGUAGCAAUUAAAGGAGCAAUCCGCUAUGAGAUGGGCCCGCGGCGCAUUAGCUAGUUGGUGAGGUAACGGCUCACCAAGGCGACGAGGCGUAGCCGACCUGAGAGGGUGAUCGGCCACAUUGGGACUGAGACACGGCCCAGACUCCUACGGGAGGCAGCAGUGGGGAAUAUUGCACAAUGGGGGAAACCCUGAUGCAGCAACGCCGCGUGAGUGAUGACGGCCUUCGGGUUGUAAAGCUCUGUCUUCAGGGACGAUAAUGACGGUACCUGAGGAGGAAGCCACGGCUAACUACGUGCCAGCCGCCGCCGUAA